ACCACCCGACUCCCCCCAGCGAUCAUUUCUGUAAUAUGUUACUAGAGAAGUUCCUCUGAUCCUGUAGGGCACCUGAAGGCAUGAGGCGGAGGCUCAGGAUUCUCUCCUGAGCGUGAAGGCAAUUCUAGGUGUUGCUUUUGCAACUGCCUUUUGCCAUUGAUGAUAGUUCUUCUCUUCUCUCUCUCCCCUCCCCCCACAGACCUGGUAUGUGUAUGACCCCUGCAGGGCUCAAAGGAACUACCCACAGCUUGUUAGUGACCAGUUCUACUACACUGAAGGGCAGACUGUUCAGACAUGG
rnacentral:snoRNA from 1 species